rnacentral:lncRNA from 1 species
UUUUCUUUUACGUUCCUUGGCGUAAAACAUAUACUUGUACCAUUAUCUCCUAAAGAUGUAUAUGCAGAUCAAGUGAAAUUACAACAAUCUGCUAAAUUGGGUAAGGGAGGUGAGACAAGUAAAAAUAAUGAGGGAAAAGAGGCCAGUAGUAAAAAGAAGGUUUCAAAUGGCCCAAAGGAGAGUGACUGCAUAGGAAAGGAUAAAAAUG